rnacentral:rRNA from 1 species
AACGAACGCUGGCGGCAUGCCUAACACAUGCGAGUCGAACGAUGCCUUCGGGCAUAGUGGCGCACGGGUGCGUAACGCGUGGGAAUCUGCCUUUCGGUUCGGAAUAACUCAGGGAAACUUGAGCUAAUACCGGAUAACGUCGCAAGACCAAAGAUUUAUCACCGAAAGAUGAGCCCGCGUAGGAUUAGCUAGUUGGUGAGGUAAGGGCUCACCAAGGCGACGAUCCUUAGCUGGUCUGAGAGGAUGAUCAGCCACACUGGGACUGAGACACGGCCCAGACUCCUACGGGAGGCAGCAGUGGGGAAUAUUGGACAAUGGGCGAAAGCCUGAUCCAGCAAUGCCGCGUGAGUGAUGAAGGCCUUAGGGUUGUAAAGCUCUUUUACCCGGGAAGAUAAUGACGGUACCGGGAGAAUAAGCCCCGGCUAACUCCGUG